GGAGGGGGAGCAAGAUGAAGUCACAGACUCAGGUCCUCAUAUCCCUGCUGCUUUGGGUGUCUGGUGCCUGUGCAGACAUUGUGAUGACCCAGUCUCCAUCCUCCCUGGCUGUGUCAGCAGGAGAGAAGGUCUCCAUCAGCUGCAAGUCCAGUCAGAGUCUUUAUUACAGUAACAACCAAAAGAACUUAUUGUCCUGGUACCAGCAGAAACCAGGGCAGUCCCCUAAGCUGCUGAUCUACUGGGCAUCCACUAGGCACACUGGGGUCCCUGAUCGCUUCACAGGCAGUGGAUCUGGGACAGAUUACACUCUCAGCAUCAGCAGUGUGCAGGCUGAAGACCUGGCAGUUUAUUACUGUAUGCAGGAUAUUAGUGCUCCUCCCACAGCUGAGGAUGGUGUAGAUCAAGGCACCAUUAAGGCUUUGCCUGGAUGA